UACGUAGGGGGCAAGCGUUGUCCGGAUUUAUUGGGCGUAAAGAGCGUGUAGGCGGCCGCACAGGUCCGUUGUGAAAACUGGAGGCUCAACCUUCAGACGUCGAUGGAAACCGUGCGGCUAGAGUCCGGAAGAGGAGAGUGGAAUUCCUGGUGUAGCGGUGAAAUGCGCAGAUAUCAGGAAGAACACCCGUGGCGAAGGCGGCUCUCUGGGACGGUACUGACGCUGAGACGCGAAAAGCGUGGGGAGCGAACAGG
rnacentral:rRNA from 1 species